rnacentral:rRNA from 1 species
GACGAACGCUGGCGGCGUGCUUAACACAUGCAAGUCGAGCGGUAAGGCCCUUUCGGGGGUACGACGAGCGGCGAACGGGUGAGUAACACGUGGGUGACCUGCCCUCAGCUCUGGGAUAAGCCUGGGAAACCGGGUCUAAUACCGGAUAUGACUCCAUGACGCAUGUUGUGGGGUGGAAAGCCUUGUGCGGCUGAGGAUGGGCCCGCGGCCUAUCAGCUUGUUGGUGGGGUGANGGCCUACCAAGGCGACGACGGGUAGCCGGCCUGAGAGGGCGACCGGCCACACUGGGACUGGGACACGGCCCAGACUCCUACGGGAGGCAGCAGUGGGGAAUCUUGCGCAAUGGGCGAAAGCCUGACGCAGCGACGCGCGUGA